AGAACGAACGCUGGCGGCAGGCCUCAAACAUGCAAGUCUAGGGGGUGUAGCAAUACAUCACCGGCGGACGGGUGCGUAACGCGUGGGAAUGUACCUAUUGGUUCGGAACAACUGAGGGAAACUUCAGCUAAUACCGGAUGAGCCCGAAAGGGGAAAGAUUUCUCGCCAAUAGAUCAGCCCGCGUCCGAUUAGCUAGUUGGUGGGGUUAAAGCCUACCAAGGCGACGAUCGGUAGCUGUUCUGAGAGGAAGAUCAGCCACACUGGGACUGAGACACGGCCCAGACUCCUACGGGAGGCAGCAGUUGGGAAUCUUGGACAAUGGGGGAAACCCUGAUCCAGCCAUGCCGCGUGAGUGAUGAAGGCCUUCGGGUUGUAAAACUCUUUCGACGGGGACGAUAAUGACGGUACCCGUAGAAGAAGCUCCGGCUAACUUCGUGACAGCAGCCGC
rnacentral:rRNA from 1 species